AUGGCAGCAAAUGUAAUACUUAGCUUCAACAAGCUGAGAUACAAGGAUGGAAAAGGAGAUCCACGGGGUUUCGUUACUUUUCUGGAGAGGAAGAAACUCCCUCGGGGAAUUCUACCUCGCUAUCGAGGCAACAGGCUACACAUCCUUUUCCACAAUGCGGCAAUACUAAUAGAGCACCAUGACAUCUUCUCAGAGUUUCUGAAAGACAGCCCAUCGCUUGGUGGCCUGAGAGCAAGCCUUCAGACGGAUUUCUCCAGCGACAGACUUAUAAUUGAACUACAGGUACUAGGGCUCAUAGGAAAACACCUCACAGGACCAUGGAUGGCUAAAUUCUACACAGCGCAUGAUUCAGACAUUAGUCACAUCGAUGCCAUUGACAUUGUGAAGCAGGUCAUUGGCAGACUGAAGAAUACUUCGAAGGACCCGACUACUAUCUUAUCCAGUACGGAAGAUUUCUUUGGCCAGGCAAUUCAAUUGGACAGAACUUCAGAAAAGUUGAGGGCUGUUCCUUCUCAUCAUUCGUUUGUCCCCAUGAUGUCGUCCUGUUUGCAAGCGACCGUUGCUGUCCUUGAGCGGCAAUAUGAGAGGUAUUUCUCAAUGGAUAUUACUGAAAAGCUUCGUGAGGAAACUGCUUCGGUGAAAUGCCACAACAUGGAUGCCGAGGAGUUAAUAGGAAUGUUUAGUCCUCUACAGAGCAAAACGCUUAAUGCCACGGUCAGUUUCCUCUCAGCUAGAAUGAGAGCAUCCAAAAACAAGACCGUGGAUUAUUUGGAGGAACUGGAUGACGAAAGAAGAGAACAUGUGUUGGAAAAAGCAAUAAGACUGGGACGACUGCAGAGGGACAGUAAGAGGGCGACAGAGAAGGAACUUAGGCAGGAGCUGAUGAAGCGGCAAAGGGAUAAAGAACAAAAGAGAAACGACGCAGAGAGGAAGAAAGUUGAGAAGACCCUAAAGCAGCAAGGACUGGAAGCAACAAGAAAGGUAUUCCCCGCAUUAAAUUAUAGCCACCUGGACCGCGUCUCGGAGAUCCUGGAAGGAAGAGUGGUUGGGAAAACAAUUUGCCACCUAUAG
rnacentral:lncRNA from 1 species